UGCAGCCUUGUGGGUGGUAGCUGGUAUGUUGGUGGAAACUCCAUGCUUCCAUGGAACCAGCUGUGGAGGAGUGGUGACGCAAUGAGCAUCCUGGAAGUUUAGUUGUCAUUUGUCACCUUUUGGAUAAUGGAGUAGAUUUCUGAAGCUAUUUCUCCUUGUUUGGUGUUCUGCCUGCAAUUUGGACAAGUGGACUUCAGAUUAUGUCUUCAUAGACUGAAAGGCUUGGCAUAAGAAGCCUCUCACCCUAAACAUCACAGCUGGGAAUAUGCUGGACCACAACUAAAGCCAGCAUGGCACUGACUCUGACCAAAGGAUUAGCUUCCAGGGGUCCUAGCAAGGUGCAUCACAGUGUCAAGAAUGCACUGCAUUCAGAGAAGUUCAAACUAUGGAUUCCCACCAGAGAAGCAUGAAGUGCUCUGAAGGCUGCCAACAAAAUGUCAAGUGAGUCCACUGACAAAAAGGAAGAGAAGCCUUGGAAAAACAUUAUUGCUUAUGUUCCAUCUGAAUCUGAGCAGCUGACCUGAGGAAGGAGGUGGCUCAUCCAAGCUGAGACAUGGUGUUUCAAGAGGUGAAACCACAGGGAAAGUUUGAAAUGAAAGUCAUAUGGGAAGAAAUGGAGAGAAGCAAGUUGGAGAUCUUUCUAGAUCACCAUCCCGUACUGGUACCCACGCCUCAGUUUAUUUCUGCUGGAGAAGGUGAUGCUAGAAGCUCAGGUUCUCUGUCCUCUCUAUGAUCCUGUGAGCUGUCUAAUAUCCCUCCAUAAAAGCCUGCUGUCUUAAACUA